CCUACGGGUGGCAGCAGUGAGGAAUAUUGGUCAAUGGGCGGGAGCCUGAACCAGCCAAGCCGCGUGAGGGACGACGGUCCUAUGGAUUGUAAACCUCUUUUGUCGGGGAACAAAGGCGCGCACUGGUGCGCGGAUGAGUGUACCCGACGAAAAAGCAUCGGCUAACUCCGUGCCAGCAGCCGCGGUAAUACGGAGGAUGCGAGCGUUAUCCGGAUUUAUUGGGUUUAAAGGGUGCGUAGGCGGACAGUCAAGUCAGCGGUAAAAGUGCGGUGCUCAACGCCGGCCAGCCGUUGAAACUGGCGGUCUGGAGUGGGCGAGAAGUAUGCGGAAUGCGUGGUGUAGCGGUGAAAUGCAUAGAUAUCGCGCAGAGCUCCGAUUGCGAAGGCAGCAUACCGGCGCCCGACUGACGCUGAGGCACGAAAGCGUGGGUAUCGAACAGGAUUAGAUACCCGGGUAGUC
rnacentral:rRNA from 1 species